AAUAAUUUAAAUAUAACCCAGACUCAGGGGGGAAUCGAAGCCGCAACCCGAGGAACAGAAAGCAGGGCCACUACAAACUGC